AAAUUGACAUAUAACACCAAAUUAAUGGGAAUAUGCAAUUGAUUGAGAGAAGUUGAGUGCCGGAAAAUUUUGUGCACGUUGCAUAAUGUCCGAGUAUCGACUAGACAAAAAACUUCUGAUUAUGCAUCCAUAAACUGUUAAUAUUAACAUUCAAGCCAUUUUCUUAAGGUAUAAUUUUAGUUUCAAUUUCACUUCCCUCCUCUCCUAAUAAGCAUCUAACAAAUAAGAGAGAAAUCUUCUUUUCCCUUGUGAUAUCCUUUUCUAUUCCCUUCCAACUUAUGGAUCACAUGCCUAUCAGUGUUCAGUCUACAUGGUUCACAUUUUGUCUUGUGUCUAUUAUUUGAUAAAUGAAUCAAACUGAAUUACAUAGCCAUCGAACCAUUUAGUUCAGUUCGUUAUGGUCAGUUAAAGAAGCGAGAAU
rnacentral:misc_RNA from 1 species